rnacentral:ncRNA from 1 species
AGAUAUCAUCGGUAAACCUAUCGAAAGGUAGGGGCACAAAGCUAUAGGGCCUGUUAAAUGGUAGCCAGUUGCACAA